UACGAAGGGGGGCUAGCGUUGUUCGGAAUUACUGGGCGUAAAGCGCACGUAGGCGGAUAUUUAAGUCAGGGGGUGAAAUCCCGGGGCUCAACCCCGGAACUGCCUUUGAUACUGGGUAUCUCGAGUCCGAGAGAGGUGAGUGGAAUUCCGAGUGUAGAGGUGAAAUUCGUGGAUAUUCGGAGGAACACCAGUGGCGAAGGCGGCUCACUGGCUCGGUACUGACGCUGAGGUGCGAAAGCGUGGGGAGCAAACAGG
rnacentral:rRNA from 1 species